rnacentral:tRNA from 1 species
UCCGAUAUGGUGUAGUGGCCAACAUGAUGCCCUCUCAUCUCUGUGAGAGGUCAGGCAUAGCCCCGAGUUCGAUUCUCGGUUUCGGAA